GGGGGCCCGCAAGCGGUGGAGCAUGUGGUUCAAUUCGACGCAACGCGAAGAACCUUACCUGGGCUCGAAAUGUAGUGGAAUGGGGUGGAAACAUCCCUGUCCCGCAAGGGACCGCUAUAUAGGUGCUGCAUGGCUGUCGUCAGCUCGUGUCGUGAGAUGUUGGGUUAAGUCCCGCAACGAGCGCAACCCUUAUCGUUAGUUGCCAUCGGGUCAAGCCGGGCACUCUAGCGAAACCGCCUGGGAUAACCAGGAGGAAGGUGGGGAUGACGUCAAGUCCUCAUGGCCUUUAUGUCCAGGGCUACGCACGUGCUACAAUGCACGGUACAAACCGUCGCAAACCCGUGAGGGGGAGCUAAUCGGAAAAAGCCGUGCUCAGUUCGGAUUGGAGUCUGCAACCCGACUCCAUGAAGCUGGAAUCGCUAGUAAUCGCAGAUCAGAACGCUGCGGUGAAUACGUUCCCGGGCCUUGUACACACC
rnacentral:rRNA from 1 species